rnacentral:rRNA from 1 species
UACGUAGGGGGCAAGCGUUGUCCGGAAUCAUUGGGCGUAAAGCGCGUGUAGGCGGCUCGAUAAGUCUGCUGUGAAAGUCCAGGGCUCAACCCUGGGAUGCCGGUGGAUACUGUCGAGCUCGAGUCCGGAAGAGGAGUGUGGAAUUCCUGGUGUAGCGGUGAAAUGCGCAGAUAUCAGGAGGAACACCAAUGGCGAAGGCAGCACUCUGGGACGUGACUGACGCUGAGACGCGAAAGCGCGGGGAGCAAACAGG